UUUUUCUUUCUCUCCCUUUCUUCCCAAGCUGCGCCGCUAGCCUUCUUUCCCCUUUCUUCUUCCCCGCGAGCUCCUCCCGAAGCUAGCUCCCCUGGCUCGAUGUGCUCCCAUGGCCGAACCCACCGGCCUCUCUCCCCUUCGGCUCUCUCUCUCGCCGAGCCGCCCCCUCUCCUCCUCUCUCCCUCUGUGCCGGCGCCUCCCGCUCCCCGCGCGCGCGCCUCCCGCUCCGCCUCCCCUGCCUCAGCGCCGCCUCGCCCGUCCCCGCGCGCCCCCUGCCGCUCCGCCUCCUCCGGCCGUGCCUGCCCACGCCGCCGAGCUAUUUCGCGCGCGCCGCUCCCCGCGCCCUCCUCUGACGCGACCCCUUCUUGAGUCCGAGCCGCCUCUCCCUGGUCGCCCCUCUUCGCGCUCCUCCCUCUCUCCCGUGCUGUCUCCCCGCGACCACCGCGCCUCCUCCGGCCGAGCGCGCCAAGCCGCCUCCCCGUCGCCGCGCCUCCCCUCGCGCCCCCUUCUCCUCUCUCCUCGCGCGACCGCUCCCCUCUGCUCUUUCUGCUGCGCGUCGCCGCCUGCACCUCGUCGGCCGACCUCCUCCCCAGCUCCGCCCCAAGCACCUGGCCGUGCGUCUCCGAGGUCCAUCACCGUCGACCUGCUGCUCGACCUCGCCUCCAGCACAUCGCCCGCAGGCCCAGCAAGCCCAUCUCCAAGCCCAAGUCCAGCAGGUCCGUGGCCUUUCUAAAAAUGUUUCCCUUACGCGUGAGCCCCGUUUGUCAGCCGCCUGCUGCUUUGCUGCUAUUGCCACUGGUGCUUGCUGUUUUGCUGCUGUGCUACUGUUACCGCUGCUCCGCGAGUGCUUCGCCUUGUCCUGCCCAAGUCCUUGUUGUGUGCCGUGAAGACCGAAGAACCUCCGAGCCGGAGCCGUCAACGACUACGACCACGACGAUUGAACGACUACUUUGCCUACAACGACUACGUGUACGACUAUCUUGACUACGUGUACGACUAUCUUGACUACGUCGACUACUUCCUCUACAUCGCGAUGCUGCACGUGUCCAAGUCUUCGAUUCCUACGACGACGACUACACUUGUGUUCUUCUUCUAGGAUCCUUGCUCAAUUCCGGGCAGUCGAGUACUCCAGGCAAGCAGCCAUUCCUUUACCAUGUUGUUUAUACCCAAUGUCUCUCUUUCAUUCUUGCACUAAGUUACGUUCUCAGUCCUGUCACGAUGCCUUUAGAAUUGCAUAGCUUUUUAGUUAGCUCUACUCAAAUGCCUUUGCCUUGUUACUUAUCUUAUUACCAUGUCACAUGUUUGUUGUUGCCCUACAUUUUGAUCAUUAGAUGUCAUGCUUAGUUGCGAGUCUAGUGUCCUUACUUGGGUUAUACAGUUGCUACAUCCA